rnacentral:ncRNA from 1 species
AUGAAAAGAGCAAACUGGUCGUGAGGUCAGGACGCAAAGCUACAGGGUCUUGCAGGACAAAUUGCAAACCGGCAAGACAGCCAGCUGCCA